UCUGCCUCUAUAGAGGCAUUGUAACUGUGAAUGCUGUGUGAUGUACACAACAGUAGGUGGCAGAAAGGACAGAGGCCAAGAAUAAUAGUGUUCUGACCUGCCAAUAUCUGAAGUAUUAGUAGCCUAAUAUU